rnacentral:rRNA from 1 species
GAAGUAGGGUGCGAGCGUUAAUCGGAAUUACUGGGCGUAAAGCGUGCGCAGGCGGUUUUGUAAGCCAGAUGUGAAAGCCCCGGGCUUAACCUGGGAAUGGCAUUUGGGACUGCAAGGCUUGAGUGCGGCAGAGGAGACUGGAAUUCCUGGUGUAGCAGUGAAAUGCGUAGAUAUCAGGAGGAAUACCGAUGGCGAAGGCAGGUCUCUGGGCUGACACUGACGCUCAUGCACGAAAGCGUGGGGAGCAAACAGG